UGGGCAGGCCUGGGCUCUGCUUGAUUUGUACAGCAAAAUAAUUUUUUAGUUUAACAAAGAUGUAACUCUGGCCAGCACACCACAUAGUUAUAUACCUUCUAGCUGAUACCAUCCCUGAGUCCUAUAGACCCCAGAGGUCCUUGAAGAGGAAGAUGGGAACCUCAGACAGUUGCUGCAUCAUUCAAAUCUCCAGGCCGAUUGGUCCCAAAGAUGGACAGGACUUGAAAAAUAAUGGAGGGUUCCCUCAAGCUUAACUAGAGCCAUGCCUGUCGAUGGCCUGCCGGACCAUGUGUGUUCCCUCCUCUCUGUGCAGCCAGCAGUUACACAUUCUGCCUGUGGCCCAUCUGCCAGCGUCCAGCCCUUUCUGGUACAUCACAGGACACAGCAGGUCAUGUCCCUGACUUGUUUAUCAUCCCUGGAAUUACUGGCUUUGCAUAACACCAGGUGGUCCAAACAAAAUUGUCUACAACCAAGAAACUUCCCAGUGAAAGAAAUAAGAGAGUUGGCAAGCCAUGAGCCAUUAUCGUAUUUCCCAUCCACCAGAAGCAGCUGGCCUUACAGAACAAUGAAAUGGUGUUCUGAAAACAGAUCUAGCAGUGUCCAGGAGACCACACCUGUGAGGCUGAGACACUUUCUUGUAGAAAGUGAUAUGUCAUCUCAAACAGUGACUGAAAUACGAUGUCAAUUCUCCCUUAGCCAACAGCAUCCAGAAACCAAGGGGGGUGAGUGGUGGAGGGUGGCAGUUCUCACAGUUAAUUUUUUCUCUAAAAAUAUUUGCUUUUCAUCCUCCAAGUCACUCACGCUCUGUGGACUUAACUGUCCAAAAGUGAGGUGUUUUCACAGGGAACUCAAUGAAAUCCAGCUCACAAUUUGGGACUCCUCCUCCCACUAGGCAAUGACAGAAGAGGAUGUUCGUGUGCUAGCUGUGCUCACCCUGAUUAUGAAGGGGAAAUAGGGUUAUCACUCCCCAAUAGGGCCCUCAAGGGGCAGAGGUGAUUGCAUCAUGCAACCAUACCCAGUGGCACAAAUUAACAGAAAAUGAUCACAAUACAUAUUAACGUUCUAAUUUUCCUCCUUGCUGUUGUAUAUAUCAGAGUCUGGUAAUAGUUGUGUACCAGUUUGUUCAAGGUUUUGGGAUGGUAAGAAAUAACCAACCCUUGGUUAGCAAGAAAUAGAGGAGGAAUGGGCAACACUUGGAAACUCUGAACUCUGAAAUUUAGAAGAAACGUUGAUGGUGGUCUGCAAUGUCACAUUCGUAUAUCUCGAUGAGACUUUGUAGUUGGCUCCUCGGAGGGAUGUUGAAGUGCAUUUGUGGCCAUAAUAACUGGAGAGGUGGAAUAAAAUACACACUGGGGUGCCUGGGGCUGGUUGUGUGCCCUCUUUUGUCUACAUACUGUACCUAUGCAACUUCAUCCAGUCCUAUGGCUUUAAAUAACUCCUACUACCAGUGACUCCUAAACUUAUAUUUCCAGCUCUGGCCUCACCUGAAAGUCCAGACUAUAUAUCCACCUGCCUACUUGAUCAAGUCCUUGGGGGCUUCACAAGGAUCUCAAAUCAACAUGUCCUUCAACCAUUGUGGAAAGCAGUAUGGAGGUUCCUCAAAAAACUCAAAAUAGAAAUACCACUUGA